GUUUUUCAGCGUGCUAUUGAGCGGCUUGAUGAACAAGCUGUUGUUAUUCAGCACGACGUCGCCUUCAGCGGUCGUCAUCUCACCGUCCAGCGGGAUAUCAAGGUGCAGGCGGGCAUUCACAUCGCCAUCAAUCUGCAACUCUUUCAGCGCCGCAGCCAAAGAAUCGUCCAGCGGUGUGUCUUCAAAGUAAGGACCCACGGCUUUACCCGGCCCGUUGAUGUCCGCGUCGAUCAGCAGUUUCUCUUUGGAAUAAUCCGGGAUCACAGCGGUUAAAUUGCUGGCGGUCACACCGCCCAGCGCCACGCUGUCGGUUUUCAUCCACAAGCCGUCAUUCAGGAAGUUCAGCUCAAUAUCCAGGUUUUUGAGGGCUGGCCAGUCGGGCUGGAAGGCAAACGUGGCGUUAC
rnacentral:ncRNA from 1 species